GACGAACGCUGGCGGCGUGCUUAACACAUGCAAGUCGAACGGAAAGGCCCUGCUUUUGUGGGGUGCUCGAGUGGCGAACGGGUGAGUAACACGUGAGUAACCUGCCCUUGACUUUGGGAUAACUUCAGGAAACUGGGGCUAAUCCCGGAUAGGAGCUCCUGCUGCGUGGUGGGGGUUGGAAAGUUUCGGCGGUUGGGGAUGGACUCGCGGCUUAUCAGCUUGUUGGUGGGGUAGUGGCUUACCAAGGCUUUGACGGGUAGCCGGCCUGAGAGGGUGACCGGCCACAUUGGGACUGAGAUACGGCCCAGACUCCUACGGGAGGCAGCAGUGGGGAAUAUUGCACAAUGGGCGGAAGCCUGAUGCAGCAACGCCGCGUGCGGGAUGACGGCCUUCGGGUUGUAAACCGCUUUCGCCUGUGACGAAGCGUGAGUGACGGUAAUGGGUAAAGAAGCACCGGCUAACUACGUG
rnacentral:rRNA from 1 species